AAAGAAGCAGGCUAAUGCAAGAACAUGGAUGCCAUUGACAUUUACGGUUCAUCCCUAAUUGCCCCAACCUGAGGAAACAGUUCACAGUCAACCACAUUGAUGGGGUCUGGAGUCAGAAAUAUGUCAGACUGGUACUAUAAAGAAAUCCUCCUUUGUCAACUUCAUUGGGCUGGGAAAGCUGUAAUUGCUCCAGUGACUUGGGUGUGAUCCUGGUUUUGGAUGCUGUCCGUGCAGAAUUUCUUCCUGUGAUUGUACGGAUUUCCCUGGGUGCUCCGGUUUCCUCUAAGAAGCCAAAGACCUGUUGGUUGUUUGGUUAAUUGGCUACUGGAAAUUGUUCCAGUGUAGGUGGAUAGCAGGAGAAGCAGGG